rnacentral:misc_RNA from 1 species
ACACCUCAACUCUCAUGGUUCGCCAUGAUGAGCUUGGACUUUGGGGGCCUUGCUGGCUUGACCGUCGGCUCCUCUCAAAUGAAUCAGCUUGCCAGUGUUUGGUGGCAUCACAGGUGUGAUAACUAUCUACGCUUGUGACCGUUCACCAGGUAACCUUCAGUGAUGGAGGUUCGCUGGAGCUCACAGACGUCUCUCCCCAGGGAGGACAGCUUCUAAAU